rnacentral:rRNA from 1 species
AGCGCAGGCGGGAAGACAAGUUGGAAGUGAAAUCCAUGGGCUCAACCCAUGAACUGCUUUCAAAACUGUUUUUCUUUGAGUAGUGCAGAGGUAGGCGGAAUUCCCGGUGUAGCGGUGGAAUGCGUAGAUAUCGAGAGGAACACCAGUGGCGAAGGCGGCCUACUGGGCACCAACUGACGCUGAGGCUCGAAAGUGUGGUAGCAAACA